AAUCUUCCACAAUGGGCGCAAGCCUGAUGGAGCAACACCGCGUGAGUGAAGAAGGGUUUCGGCUCGUAAAGCUCUGUUGUUUAAAGAAGAACACGUAUGAGAGUAACUGUUCAUACGUUGACGGUAUUUAACCAGAAAGUCACGGCUAACUACGUGCCAGCAGCCGCGGUAAUACGUAGGUGGCAAGCGUUAUCCGGAUUUAUUGGGCGUAAAGAGAGUGCAGGCGGUUUUCUAAGUCUGAUGUGAAAGCCUUCGGCUUAACCGGAGAAGUGCAUCGGAAACUGGAUAACUUGAGUGCAGAAGAGGGUAGUGGAACUCCAUGUGUAGCGGUGGAAUGCGUAGAUAUAUGGAAGAACACCAGUGGCGAAGGCGGCUACCUGGUCUGCAACUGACGCUGAGACUCGAAAGCAUGGGUAGCGAACAGGAUUAGAUACCCUGGUAG
rnacentral:rRNA from 1 species